rnacentral:sRNA from 1 species
UCUCUAUGAAGAGAGUACAAGCAGACGGGUGGUCUGAACUGAUGCCAUGUUGAUAUGUCUGCAUCAUCUGUGCUACCCUUGUGGUUGGCAUCUGAGAGA